rnacentral:rRNA from 1 species
AGUGAACGCUGGCGGUAGGCCUAACACAUGCAAGUCGAACGGCAGCACAGUAAGAGCUUGCUCUUACGGGUGGCGAGUGGCGGACGGGUGAGGAAUACAUCGGAAUCUACUUUUUCGUGGGGGAUAACGUAGGGAAACUUACGCUAAUACCGCAUACGACCUACGGGUGAAAGCAGGGGAUCUUCGGACCUUGCGCGAUUGAAUGAGCCGAUGUCGGAUUAGCUAGUUGGCGGGGUAAAGGCCCACCAAGGCGACGAUCCGUAGCUGGUCUGAGAGGAUGAUCGGCCACACUGGAACUGAGACACGGUCAAGGCUCCUACGGGAGGCAGCAGUGGGGAAUAUUGGACAAUGGGCGCAAGCCUGAUCCAGCCAUACCGCGUGGGUGAAGAAGGCCUUCGGGUUGUAAAGCCCUUUUGUUGGGAAAGAAACGCAGCAGGUUAAUACCCCGCUGUUCUGACGGUACCCAAAGAAUAAGCACCGGCUAACUUCGUG